GCCAGACUCCUACGGGAGGCAGCAGUGGGGGAUAUUGCACAAUGGGGGCAACCCUGAUGCAGCGACGCCGCGUGAGCGAUGGAGUACUUCGGUAUGUAAAGCUCUGUCGGCAGGGAAGAGAAUGACGGUACCUGACCAAGAAGCCCCGGCUAAAUACGUGCCAGCAGCCGCGGUAAUACGUAUGGGGCAAGCGUUAUCCGGAUUUACUGGGUGUAAAGGGAGCGUAGACGGUGAGACAAGUCUGAAGUGAAAGCCCGGGGCUCAACCCCGGGACUGCUUUGGAAACUGCCUGACUGGAGUGCUGGAGAGGCAAGCGGAAUUCCUAGUGUAGCGGUGAAAUGCGUAGAUAUUAGGAAGAACACCAGUGGCGAAGGCGGCUUGCUGGACAGUAACUGACGUUGAGGCUCGAAAGCGUGGGGAGCAAACAGGAUUAGAUACCCUGGUAUAG
rnacentral:rRNA from 1 species